UACGUAGGUGGCAAGCGUUGUCCGGAUUUACUGGGCGUAAAGAGCGCGCAGGCGGUCGGAUAAGUCGAAUGUGAAAGCCCCUGGCUCAACCAGGGAGGGUCAUUCGAUACUGUUCGACUCGAAGGCAGGAGAGGGAAGUGGAAUUCCGGGUGUAGUGGUGAAAUGCGCAGAUAUCAGGAAGAACACCCGUGGCGAAGGCGGCUCUCUGGGACGGUACUGACGCUGAGACGCGAAAGCGUGGGGAGCGAACAGG
rnacentral:rRNA from 1 species